rnacentral:rRNA from 1 species
UAGGGAAUCUUCCGCAAUGGACGCAAGUCUGACGGAGCAACGCCGCGUGAGUGAAGAAGGAUUUCGGUUCGUAAAACUCUGUUGUUAGAGAAGAACAGCGCAUAGAGUAACUGUUAUGCGUGUGACGGUAUCUACCAGAAAGCCACGGCUAACUACGUGCCAGCAGCCGCGGUAAUACGUAGGUGGCAAGCGUUGUCCGGAUUUAUUGGGCGUAAAGCGAGCGCAGGCGGUCAAUUAAGUCUGAUGUGAAAGCCCCCGGCUCAACCGGGGAGGGUCAUUGGAAACUGGUUGACUUGAGUGCAGAAGAGGAGAGUGGAAUUCCAUGUGUAGCGGUGAAAUGCGUAGAUAUAUAGAGGAACACCAGUGGCGAAGGCGACUCUCUGGUCUGUAACUGACGCUGAGGCUCGAAAGCGUGGGUAGCAAACAGG